rnacentral:rRNA from 1 species
GCUUACGGCCACACCUCCCUGAGCACGCCCGAUCUCGUCUGAUCUCGGAAGCUAAGCAGGGUCGGGCCGGUAGUACUUGGAUGGGAGACCGCCUGGGAAUACAGGUGCUGUAAGAC